AUUGAACGCUGGCGGCAGGCUUAACACAUGCAAGUCGAGCGGUAACAGAGAGAAGCUUGCUUCUCUGCUGACGAGCGGCGGACGGGUGAGUAAUGCCUAGGAAUCUGCCUAGUAGUGGGGGAUAACUUGCCGAAAGGUAAGCUAAUACCGCAUACGUCCUACGGGAGAAAGGAGGGGACCUUCGGGCCUUUCGCUAUUAGAUGAGCCUAGGUCGGAUUAGUUAGUUGGUGAGGUAAUGGCUCACCAAGACCGCGAUCCGUAACUGGUCUGAGAGGAUGAUCAGUCACACUGGAACUGAGACACGGUCCAGACUCCUACGGGAGGCAGCAGUGGGGAAUAUUGGACAAUGGGGGGAACCCUGAUCCAGCCAUGCCGCGUGUGUGAAGAAGGUCUUAGGAUUGUAAAGCACUUUAAGUUGGGAGGAAGAGCAGUUAACUAAUAUUUGACUGUUUUGACGUUACCGACAGAAUAAGCACCGCCUAACUUCGUG
rnacentral:rRNA from 1 species